AGCACAAGGGGAGAGAGGGAGAGAAAUCCUGGGUCUAGAAGUUUCGAGCUUCUCUGUCUUCUCCAUCGGUCUUCCUCAUCCUUCCUUCUCUAAUGUUCUCCCCGUGUCACCGGCGAUCGUGGAUGCUCAGCACUGCCUUGCAAAAAUGCCCAGUAUGUCUCUGUAGGUGCUGCCAUUAGCGAGUCCUUCUUCAUGCUCUCUGCCUCUGUUCGUUUUCUUUUUCGUGCUGCUGUUCUAUCUUGCUGUGCACAUCUGGGUCGUUGGCUGAUGGAAAAAAUCAAGUCGCUGGAGUGGGUGUAUUGAUCUCGAAUUUGAAUCAGCGCUGAGUUCGUUUUUCUUCUUUGAAGGAAGAGCUGAUAUGGUGCUGUGGAAGGAUUAAUUCGUGGGUUGAGGCUGAAAUAUUGCUAUAUUCUUCUUCCCCUGUUCAGUUGUAGAUUCAGUUUUCUUCCUCCUCUGUGUGUGUGCACUGUCGGCUAACUAAGGAUGCUAAGAGAAAGGAAGAAUUGAUUGAAGUUCUAAGAAAUGAAUUUUGAUGCUCGAGCAUAUUAUAGAUAGCAUAAUUGACGCUGUACGUCUUGCUUACCAAUGAUGGAUGUUUUCGGAACAGAGUGGAGGCUUGCUCUGUAAAUAUGUCUUAUUGAUGUAAUAUGAAAUUUAUGUAUUAUGUCAUGAGAUAUAUGAUUAGGUGCUCCACAUAACUUAUAAUUAGAAUCCUUAGUUUAUUA